rnacentral:rRNA from 1 species
UACGGAGGGUGCGAGCGUUGUCCGGAAUCAUUGGGCGUAAAGGGCGCGUAGGUGGCCCGGUCAGUUCGUGGUGAAAGCGCGGGGCUCAACCCUGCGUCGGCCAUGAAUACUGCCGCGGCUGGAGCACUGUAGAGGCAGGCGGAAUUCCGGGUGUAGCGGUGGAAUGCGUAGAUAUGUGGAGGAAUACCGAUGGCGAAGGCAGCCCCCUGGGAUAACACUGACGCUCAUGCACGAAAGCGUGGGGAGCAAACAGG